rnacentral:misc_RNA from 1 species
UCCCAUAUAUUGUGGGCAGUUUGUGCAUUUUUUACAUUGUAAGUUAAAUGCAUAUAGAGGUUGCGCUCGUUAAGGGACUUAACCAAACAUCUUACAACACGAGCUGACGACAGCCAUGCAACACCUGUGCAAUAUUUAAUUUUAAAGUUUAUUUUGGUAUAUUUUUUACAAAAACCAUAUUGCAUUGCAAGAACUGGUAAGGUUAGGCGCGUAGUAUCGCAUUAAACCACAUAUUCCACCACUUGUAUAGACCCCCGUCAAUUCCUUUGAGUUUCAACCUUGCGGUCAUACUUCUCCGGCGGGGUGCUUCACGCGUUCGCUUUUUCUGAACAAAUAAAUUUUUAUCCCUUAGCACCCAGAUUUUAGGGUGUGGACUAC